rfam:Otolemur garnettii contig184100, whole genome shotgun sequence.
ACAAAGGCUCUUUUCAGAGCCACCCACCUCGUCACGUAAGUGGCAG